rnacentral:rRNA from 1 species
GAUGAACGCUGGCGGUAUGCCUAACACAUGCAAGUCGUACGAGAGUUUUUAACUCUAGUGGCGGACGGGUGAGUAACACGUGAGAAUUUGCCUUUAGGAGGGGGGAUAACAAUUGGAAACGAAUGCUAAUACCCCAUAUGCUUUUGAGUGAAAUGGAUUUUAUCCGCCUAGAGAGAAGCUCGCGGCUGAUUAGCUUGUUGGUAAGGUAAGAGCUUACCAAGGCGACGAUCAGUAUCUGGUUUGAGAGGACGAUCAGACACACUGGAACUGAGACACGGUCCAGACUCCUACGGGAGGCAGCAGUGGGGAAUUUCCGCAAUGGGCGAAAGCCUGACGGAGCAAUACCGCGUGAGGGAAGAAUGCCUAUGGGUUGUAAACCUCUUUUCAGGGAGGAAUAAAAUGACGUGUACCUGAAGAAUAAGCAUCGGCUAACUCCGUG